GAGCACAAGAACAUAGUGCAGCACACACCGUCGUCCUUGUACGUAGCUAGCACUAGCGGUGAUAGAUGGCGAUGUUGAGUUCCUACGCCAUCCGGAGCCCGGCGCUGCGUUGGGCGACCUCACGCAAGGAGUCCCGCUCCCGGGCUGCUCUCUUCACGUGCCAUGCGGAUAAGUACGGGUACAACGACAUCCAACCCAGUGCCCUGGUGCACCCUCGAUCGCGAAAAGAACGACGGCGACUGGAGGCUGAAGGACGAGAAGGACCAAAUCACCCUCAAGUUUUUGGUGGGGGAGACGACGAGCAACGAUAAACUGGAGGUUGCAACAACGGAGGAUCGGACCAGGCGCUCUUGGUCAUCAGGUACAAGAAAAAGGAGAGCAACGUCGUCGUCGUCGACGAGAGCCCGGCGAGCUCGCUGGACGUCCGCCUGCUGAUGCCUCCCGGCUACGACAGUAAUAAGAUGCAGGCGAUAAUAAUGUGGAAAAUACGGGCUGGCUAGAGAUUUCUAUCCCCAAGCCUAAGCACGAACCCAAAACCAUACCCAUCUCGCCGGCCCAGUGACCAUCAUCAGUAUGUAUGGAUAUAUGGAUGUGUGCUUCCUCUGCUUCUGUCGUUCAGCAUGUGCUAAUAAUGUACCUACAACUACAAGCAGCAGCAUGUACGUGUAGCUGCAGCUGCUUUAACAGUCUCGUACCCUAAUGUGAUGUUUAAUCAUACAUCGAUCUCCUACUAUGCCAAGCCUCAUUUCGCAUCA